UGUUCGUGCUUGUGUGUGGUUGUUCCUGCUGCUGAGACACAGAGAGACUAUUUUCCAUUUGUUUUCUUAGCCGUGAAAAACACUGCCACCCUGGCAAACUGGUUAGAGGUGGUUUUGGCCUCUAUUUCUGUAGAAUCGAUUUCCUUUGCUGAAUCAUAAGAUUCAGCCGUGACCUCCUCACCUUGCAACCGUGGGAAGAGAUGAUCCGGAGGUCAGCAGGGACACGGUCUCCACCCUUCACCUCCACCAGGUCUCCCACCACCACCUCCUCUGCAUUGAUCUGCAUCUUUUCUCCCUCUCGGAUGACCAGAGCUUGCUGCGGAAAGGCCAGGAGCCCGUCAUGAGUUGUUCAUUUGUACCUUUGCUCUCCAAGAAGAACCCCCUACACCGUUAGCGGCAAAACUGCGAUCUGAUGUGGAGAGCCCACAGGUUUCUUUUCUGCCCGUCUUCCUUCCACCUCAGACCACAAGACAGAAAGAGGCGGACCAUCUCAGAUACCUUAUGCCCCGACUUGGGUGCAGCCAGUCCCUGACAUCUACCUGAGGCACCAUGUUCUUGAAGGAGUCCAUGAUCUUGGAGCUCUUGGCUUCCUGGUAGUAGGAGAAGCAGCCGGUGACGAUAACUACAGCCGCUAGCACGAUACCUAGAUAUAACUGGUAAGGAGAGAGAGUGUGUGAGGGACCUGUCAUUUGUCACCUCCAGAGCUGGGUGACACCUGGGAUGAGCACCCAGAGUCACUCUAUGUGGGAUCCCCUUCCUUCACCUGACUCAAUCUUGAGAAUGGCACUGAGUAGUCUUUCUCCACAACCUUCCCCAGUCUCCUAACCACGCUCCUAGCAUGGAAGGGGCAAAGAAGGGAAUCCCCAUGGCUUUGGCUUUUCUAGGAGUGAAGACGCAGGGAUACAGACAGCCUAUUAGUGGAAGGAGUAUGUAGUAUGUAUCACUGCCCACAUGUGCUGGAGGGUGCGUCACAGAUCCUGCCUUUCUCCAGGGCUCCAGGGAAAGCCCCACAGCUUUGACCCUGGGUGUCACGCAGUUUUGGCAAUCACCUAUUACUUUCCAAAGAAAGCCUAGCCAGGCUCACUUCUCUUUGAUCUCCCCAGCCAGGCUAGAUCAAAGGCCUCUUUCUGG